rnacentral:rRNA from 1 species
CGAACGGGUGAGUAACACGUAAACAAUCUGCCUGCAGAUUCGGGAUAACCUUGCCAACGCGGGGCUAAUACCGGAUGUGGUCGACGAUCCGCAUGGAUUGUUGAUUAAAGAUACGCAAGAGUCGUCUGCAGAUGAGUUUGCGUCCCAUUAGCUAGUUGGCGGGGUAACGGCCCACCAAGGCGAUGAUGGGUAGCCGGCCUGAGAGGGUGAACGGCCACAUUGGGACUGAGAUACGGCCCAGACUCCUACGGGAGGCAGCAGUAGGGAAUUUUGCGCAAUGGGCGAAAGCCUGACGCAGCAACGCCGCGUGAGUGAUGACGGCCUUCGGGUUGUAAAGCUCUGUUGGACGGGAAGAAAAGACAUGCGAAGAACAUGUUAUGACGGUACCGUUCGAGGAAGCUCCGGCUAACUACGUGCCAGCAGCCGCGGUAAUACGUAGGGAGCGAGCGUUGUUCGGAAUUACUGGGCGUAAAGGGAGCGUAGGCGGGUUUGUAAGUUAGGGGUUUAACGCAUGGGCUUAACCCAUGUUUGGCCUUUAAUACUGCAAGUCUUGAGUGUGGGAUAGGGCGAUGGAAUUCCAGGUGUAGCGGUGGAAUGCGUAGAUAUCUGGAAGAACACCAACAGCGAAGGCAGUCGCCUGGCCCGAUACUGACGCUGAAGCUCGAAAGUCGGGGGAGCAAACAGGAUUAGAUACCCUGGUAGUCCCGACCGUAAACGAUGAACACUAGUUGCCGGGAGAGUCAAUCCUUUCGGUGACGAAGCUAACGCAUUAAGUGUUCCGCCUGGGGAGUACGCCCGCAAGGGUGAAACUCAAAGGAAUUGACGGAA